CCUACGGGAGGCAGCAGUGAGGAAUUUUGCGCAAUGGGGGAAACCCUGACGCAGCAACGCCGCGUGAGUGAUGAAGGCCUUUGGGUCGUAAAGCUCUGUCGAGUGGGAAGAACUUGUUGGAUGCUAAUACCAUCCUUCACUGACGGUACCACUAAAGGAAGCACCGGCUAACUCCGUGCCAGCAGCCGCGGUAAUACAGAGGGUGCAAGCGUUAUUCGGAAUUACUGGGCGUAAAGGGCGCGUAGGCGGCCUCUUAAGUCAGAUGUGAAAGCCCGGGGCUUAACCCCGGAAGUGCAUUUGAAACUAAGGGGCUUGAGUAUGGGAGAGGGAAGUGGAAUUCCUGGUGUAGCGGUGAAAUGCGUAGAUAUCAGGAGGAACACCGGUGGCGAAGGCGACUUCCUGGACCAAUUCUGACGCUGAGGCGCGAAGGCGUGGGGAGCAAACAGGAUUAGAUACCCCGGUAGUCC
rnacentral:rRNA from 1 species